CGGAGAAGGCUAUGUUGGCCGGGCGACGGUUGUCCCGGUUUAAGCGUGUAGGCUGGUUUUCCAGGCAAAUCCGGAAAAUCAAGGCUGAGGCGUGAUGACGAGGCACUACGGUGCUGAAGCAACAAAUGCCCUGCUUCCAGGAAAAGCCUCUAAGCAUCAGGUAACAUCAAAUCGUACCCCAAACCGACACAGGUGGUCAGGUAGAGAAUACCAAGGCGCUUGAGAGAACUCGGGUGAAGGAACUAGGCAAAAUGGUGCCGUAACUUCGGGAGAAGGCACGCUGAUAUGUAGGUGAAGCGACUUGCUCGUGGAGCUGAAAUCAGUCGAAGAUACCAGCUGGCUGCAACUGUUUAUUAAAAACACAGCACUGUGCAAACACGAAAGUGGACGUAUACGGUGUGACGCCUGCCCGGUGCCGGAAGGUUAAUUGAUGGGGUUAGCGGUAACGCGAAGCUCUUGAUCGAAGCCCCGGUAAACGGCGGCCGUAACUAUAACGGUCCUAAGGUAGCGAAAUUCCUUGUCGGGUAAGUUCCGACCUGCACGAAUGGCGUAAUGAUGGCCAGGCUGUCUCCACCCGAGACUCAGUGAAAUUGAACUCGCUGUGAAGAUGCAGUGUACCCGCGGCAAGACGGAAAGACCCCGUGAACCUUUACUAUAGCUUGACACUGAACAUUGAGCCUUGAUGUGUAGGAUAGGUGGGAGGCUUUGAAGUGUGGACGCCAGUCUGCAUGGAGCCGACCUUGAAAUACCACCCUUUAAUGUUUGAUGUUCUAACGUUGGCCCGUAAUCCGGGUUGCGGACAGUGUCUGGUGGGUAGUUUGACUGGGGCGGUCUCCUCCUAAAGAGUAACGGAGGAGCACGAAGGUUGGCUAAUCCUGGUCGGACAUCAGGAGGUUAGUGCAAUGGCAUAAGCCAGCUUGACUGCGAGCGUGACGGCGCGAGCAGGUGCGAAAGCAGGUCAUAGUGAUCCGGUGGUUCUGAAUGGAAGGGCCAUCGCUCAACGGAUAAAAGGUACUCCGGGGAUAACAGGCUGAUACCGCCCAAGAGUUCAUAUCGACGGCGGUGUUUGGCACCUCGAUGUCGGCUCAUCACAUCCUGGGGCUGAAGUAGGUCCCAAGGGUAUGGCUGUUCGCCAUUUAAAGUGGUACGCGAGCUGGGUUUAGAACGUCGUGAGACAGUUCGGUCCCUAUCUGCCGUGGGCGCUGGAGAACUGAGGGGGGCUGCUCCUAGUACGAGAGGACCGGAGUGGACGCAUCACUGGUGUUCGGGUUGUCAUGCCAAUGGCACUGCCCGGUAGCUAAAUGCGGAAGAGAUAAGUGCUGAAAGCAUCUAAGCACGAAACUUGCCCCGAGAUGAGUUCUCCCUGAGACUUUAAGUCUCCUGAAGGAACGUUGAAGACGACGACGUUGAUAGGCCGGGUGUGUAAGCGCAGCGAUGCGUUGAGCUAACCGGUACUAAUGAACCGUGAGGCUUAACCUU
rnacentral:rRNA from 1 species